rnacentral:rRNA from 1 species
AUUGAACGCUGGCGGCAUGCCUUACACAUGCAAGUCGAACGGUAACAGGUCAAGCCGACGAGUGGCGAACGGGUGAGUAAUAUAUCGGAACGUGCCCAGUAGUGGGGGAUAGCCCGGCGAAAGCCGGAUUAAUACCGCAUACGACCUACGGGUGAAAGCGGGGACCGCAAGACCUCGCGCUAUUGGAGCGGCCGAUAUCAGAUUAGCUAGUUGGUGGGGUAAAAGCUCACCAAGGCGACGAUCUGUAGCUGGUCUGAGAGGACGACCAGCCACACUGGGACUGAGAC